rnacentral:rRNA from 1 species
AUGGAGCUCAAGCCAUGCACCACGGUCGGCAUGGAUAAGAGUCGGGAAUAUUUGAUCAAUAAGGUGUUGCCGGCAAUCAAGGAGAAGUGGCCGCAAGAGGAUCGAUGGAAGCCAAUCUUCAUCCAACAGGACAACGCAAAGACACAUGUUCGACCUGAUGAUCCGGCAGUUCUUGCAGCAGCUCAUGAAGGUGGUUGGGACAUUAGGGUCGUGAUGCAGCCGCCUAAUUCUCCGGAUACUAAUGGGUUAGACCUUGGCAUCUUCAACUCUCUUCAGUCCGUAUUUGAAAAGAAGAUGCCACAAAAUCUUCAUGAGAUUCUCACGAAAGUGGAUGAGACAUGGGAUGAGCAUGAUGCAAACAAGUCCAACCGUGUGUUCCUUACCCAUCAGGCUGUCAUGCGGGAAAUACUAAGGCACAAGGGCUCCAUAGACUAUGAUCUUCCUCACCUAAAAAAGAGGUCUUUUGAGAGGAGGGGGAUCCGCACGCGUAGGCUACCAUGCGAGCCCGAGGUUGUAGCUAUGGCGCUUGAGUAUGUCAAUUCCGAGCAGAUUUGA